rnacentral:rRNA from 1 species
UGGGGAAUAUUGCACAAUGGGCGAAAGCCUGAUGCAGCAACGCCGCGUGAGUGAUGAAGGUCUUCGGAUUGUAAAGCUCUGUCUUUUGGGACGAUAAUGACGGUACCAAAGGAGGAAGCCACGGCUAACUACGUGCCAGCAGCCGCGGUAAUACGUAGGUGGCGAGCGUUGUCCGGAUUUACUGGGCGUAAAGGGUGCGUAGGCGGAUGUUUAAGUGAGAUGUGAAAUACCCGGGCUUAACUUGGGUGCUGCAUUUCAAACUGGAUAUCUAGAGUGCAGGAGAGGAGAAUGGAAUUCCUAGUGUAGCGGUGAAAUGCGUAGAGAUUAGGAAGAACACCAUGGCGAAGGCGAUUCUCUGGACUGU